CUUUGGUUGGAUUCCGCCCCGACAUGCGGGGGUUGCCGGGUGGUUAUUUGCUCGGGGAUGUCUGCACCAUCUCUCUCCUUCUCCUCCCUCCAUCUUCAAAACAUGGAUGCAGGACCAACCUUCAAAGACUGAAAUACAUUCAAGGGACUUGUUAGAUACCUGAAAGGUACAGCACAUUUCAAGCUAAAGUUACCAGCUAACAGCAAACCUGAACUUGUUGUGUACACAGACACUAAUUAUGGAGACUUGAAUACCAGAUUAUUGACCAUUGAACAAACUUUCUUCUAUGGAAAUGCAAUGAUAAUCUGGACAAUCAAGAAGCAAAACACAGUCACUCAAUCUUCAACAGAAUCUGAGUACAUCUCAGCUGGACUAUGUUGCCAAGAGAUAACAUGGCUAAAAAGAGUACUAGAAGAUCUUGGAAUACAGAUCUCACAACCUGUGAAAACAAUCAAACUUGUAUCAAGCUUCUACAGAGAGAUAACAUUCACAUGCAAACCAAGCAUGUUGUCAUGAAGUAUCGCCUUGUGAAAAAACUACAACAGAAAGGCAUCGUGAAUAUGAUCCACUGUCCAUCCAGAGAGAUGAUUUCUGACGCCCUAAGCAAGCUGCUACCAAGACUUCACUUUCAGACUGAGACAAGAUAAAUCUCAUAGAUUGAUCCAAGCAACAGCAAGAGAGAGAAGGAAGAGGAGGAUUCAGCGCUGUCCCUUUCCUCAGCAUAACAUCAGGAUAUGAGCCUUGGAGUGCCACAGUCUUUGAUUCUGGAAUGUGUUAUCUAACCCUGAACUUUGACCUGAGAAGCCUUGUUGUGGACCCUGUUGUUGCCAACACUUGCCUCCAUCCUGGUGAGCAGGACUUUUCAUUCUUCUAUUUAUACUCUUAACAUUAUGUUGCUGCUAUUUCAGCUGGUUUUGAUAAAUAAAUCCUAUGUUGGCCCCAGAAACCUAAUUAAAGGAUUCCAUAUUUGCGUUGUUAGCAGUCUAUCAUUUAGCAAAGGAAGCGUGAUUAUAGGUGGUGUGAGCUGGUGUAUGUGCAGGAGAAGCAUACACCUGCUUAUAUUUAGAAAGGAACUCCAUACUCUGAUAGGAAACGAGGAGAGACAGAUCCUAACUACCUAUCUAUUCUAAGGAUGGGCAUGGAUGCUAGUACAAGUCCUGCAUCUAUGCUUCCAAGAUGGAGGGAGGAGGAGGAGAGAGAUGGUGCCUGGAACAAAGCCAGGAAAAGACAAGGUGAGAAAGAGGAGGAGGAAAUCCUAAGAAUAGCAAUCUACAUAUCAGUCAGAGCAGUAAACAGUAAGCAGAGUGCCCUGACCUCUCUAUCUUUCUAACUCUUUGGUUUGUCCCUCUCUGAAACCUGAGGAAAGGGACAGUGCUGAAUCCUCC